UAUUUGUUUCUUUUUAUUUUAUAAACAGUUUUAUUUAAUGAGAAAAGUAAAUAAAAAUUAAUUCUUUAAAAAAUAAUUUAAAAUUUGAUUUUACAUGACUUUAUAUCUAAAUAUAGUUAUUUUAAAGUCAUCCAAAAUCAGAUACAUAUCAAUACUAUUAAAAGGAAAGGAGUUCUAAAAAAUCUACUUAAAACAAGUCAUAGUUAGACCAUUUCAUUUAACUAGAAUUCCUAUUAUUUCUCAUACUACUAACUUCAUUAUUCUUCAUUAAAGACAAAUUAGUCAUAGAAAAUGAUACUAACCUAAUUCUCUACAUAUACAUUUACUAUAUACACAUUAUUCCAUCAUAAUUAUUUUGUGUUAUUAUUAAAUAAUGUCCACCCUAUAUCUAUAUCUAUAUAUAUAAAAUACAGUUUCCUCUCUCCUUAGACAUGCCACAUAGGAUUCCAUGUCAUAAACUAGAAAGCUGAAAACGCAACACGUGUCCUCUAUACAAAACUUAGCGUUUCAUUAACUAGCGAUUAUAUUUUUAUUGGGCUUAUUCUGUUUUUCUUUUUACCCUGUCUAACGGCCCGAUAGACCACAUGAUUCAACCCUAAUUGUGAUUUACGCAAAAGAUGAAAUUUAAGGUUUCUCUGUUCUUUGGAACUGAGGCGACUUUUGAUCUUCGUCUGGUUCACUGAAACGCACCCAGAUAUUUAUUCAUCGUCUUUAAUCCUUUAUUAAUUCAAACACCCACGAUCUAGCCUUGAAUGCGAUCUUCCAUCAUGGUGAGGCUGUCUAACUAAGAAUAUAAAUAGGAACCAAAUAUCCGUGAAGAAGCUUCGGCACUAUAUUGUCUACAGGAGAUAACAAUAAUACGUGAAGGCAAGCGUUUGAAUCACAAGCCAAAGACCAAAUACCGUUUCACUCAUUCAAGGCACCUCUUCAUAUCUACACAUACACUACAUCAGAGUCUUCGGUUGACAUCCUUUUCAAUUCAUCUUCACCUUCUGCUGCACCCGUAACAUCUAUAUAUAGUUAGCUUUUGGAAACGAUGAAUAUUGGUGUACAAAAUGAUAUUGGAAAAGUUAAUGGAGAACUUAAGUUUGCUUUCGUAAA